GGCGACACCCCUGAGAGCUGAGAGAAUGAGUCACAGGUCCUAGAGGAGAUCAGGCAAUUCACAGAGGCAUAAUUAAACGCCAGCACGAAUAGCACACAAAUGAACCAGGGCCCGGAAGCAGCAUGCAGUUAGUCCAGAGAAUACGGUAGUGUGGGAGUCAGUGGAUCCACGGCCUCCACAGAUAUCUUUGGGAAGUUCUCAGAGCCACAAUUGUCUAUGUGUGAUUACCUUCUGCUGCUGCAAUUGCCAGAAGACUGUUGGGAGAUGAAAAACAGAAUUGUGACACCGUAGAAUCAGAAGUUGCCUUGGGAUUCCCGGGGAAGCCCAUCCUGUGCAGUGGAGAAGAGAAAGGUUGAAUUGUCAGUAGUCUUGCAUUCAGGCUUUCCUGAAACACUUCAACUUUUACUCCGGAUGUGGAUGCAGCCCUUGGCUACUUAUUUGAUGGAUUCUCAAGAAUAGAGACUCCUCCCCAGCCCAUCUGUAAAUUCUAAGCCUGUGAUGUAGAUUACUGGUUACAGUCAGGAAGUACGUUCUUUCUUCUUAGGGAGAGAUUCUGAGCCAGUUAAUCUAACAGGAAUAAAGAGAUUUGAGAGCAGUUUCAUCUACUGAGGGUUUCUCCCUCCUCAAACUUACGCAAAGUACUAUAUUCUCGAAUCGGAAAGUCGUUCCAGAUGAAGAAGCUCGUGGAUCACAACAUGGAUACAGUAGUGCUCGCUGGUGACUCGGAGGGACACGUAUCGAUGGAGGAACUCAGCACUGUAAUUCAUCUGGUUUAGAAAACACUGCAGGAGAGUGAAAAUCAAGCCGACAAAGAAUAUUGAGCUUUGCCAUCCACUCCUUCUUGAGUCACUUGCCUUAUUCUGUUUUCAAGCCACUGAAACUCUCCCAUGCAUAAAUAUAUGUCCACACAGGAUGGCAAUAUGGCUAUGUAAUAGAGUACAGGUAGUAUGCUAUCUGUUUAUUAAACAUUGAUUUCAGUAUGCAUAUGCAGAGACAUCGUGGGACUAUAUCUUAGUGAUGUGCAUGAGUAUGCACACACGUGCUCAGAAAAAAAGCAGAACAUAAACACUUUAAUAGUGGUUAUUUCAAGGUGAUGAAAUGCAGUGGCUCUCUUCUUAAAAGUGUCUCUAUUUUGUUCAAUAUGAACCUGUUGUAACACAGUACAGUUACUCCUCUGUGACAGGAAUUCCUGGAGAGAGCUGUGUCUGCAAAGACUGAUAUGUCAGAAGAGCAAUGAUGUGCAGAGGCAGAAGUCCCAAGCUCAGAGUUUAAUUACACUUUCUCUGGGGCUAACUUUAGCUCCCAAUAGCCAUUUCUUGCCCACCUCUGUCAGUUUUAGCAUCCUGUGACUCAAAGGUUAAAAAAACUUUUGGAAUUUCAAUAACUUAUCAGACAACCAGCAUCUGCCAACCCAAAAGCUAGGGCUGUCCUCAGAUCCCAUCGGAGACUCUAGGGAGAGAUUCCCCCAUCUUGCAGUUACUGCCCCUCUGCUGUUUUUCUGGAUGGAUCUUUUCAAUGCCUAGAUUUCCAUCCUCUUCGUUCUGCUUCUAUGAAACUGCUUCCUCGUUGGAGAAUAAAACCUGGGGCAGCCUAACUCCAUGUUCAAUCCUUGGUCACUCAUAUUUGGCUCCAGAAUAAAUUCUCUCUUAUUUCCUUUGAUUUUUUUCCGCAUUAACAGGAUCAUGACUGAACUUCAGACAGCACAGGUUUUAGCAAAAGACAGCCUGAUAUUCUCUCAGAUGGAUUCUCUAACUACUGUGCCCAACUGGUACUGGGGUGUGCCUUGUGGCUAUCUUGGGGCUGGCAUUGAACCUUUUUCAGUGAGCACAUCUUAACAUUAGUAACUGGGGUUCAAAAAAAUACAAUUUGUAAAGCCCGAUGAAGACAUUUCAAAGUUACAAGUUAUAGCCAUCAAGCGACUCCUGUAAAGCGCCUUCUCAUGUGCCUGAUUAAAGUCACCACUGUAGGAAAGGCCAGAAGUAACAGAGGUGAAGGAAGCAUAGGACUUCUAAACAUUUUUUUUUUUAAAGACUUUAUUAUAGAUGGUUAUGAGCCACCAUGUGGUUGCUGGGAUUUGAACUCAGGCCCUCUGGAAGAGCAGUCAGUGCUCUUAACCACUGAGCCAUCUCUCCAGCCCUUUACUUUUCUUUUUUUUUUUUGUUCUUUUUUUUUCGGAGCUGGGGACCGAACCCAGGGCCUUGCGCUUCCUAGGCAAGCGCUCUACCACUGAGCUAAAUCCCCAACCCCAAGCAUAGGACUUCUAACUGGGAAUUGUAACCCAACAACCCGAGAAAUAGGAUCUCGUUUCCAUUUUGUUCUUGUCUCGUACAAGCAUGUGCAGCCAUGUGUUAAUAAGAGAGAUUUUGUUGCAUCUGCUAGAUAGAACUGCUGAAAACUUUUACUGGGGGAGGGGGGACGCGUUGUAAUAAUAAGAAUGGAGGUUUCUCGCCUUUUGCUGUGGAAAGAUUAUUUUCAAAUUUAGACUUAACGAUGGACCUCUUGAUUCAUGACCUUCUUUGCCAAAUCUGCACUCAUAGGCCCCUCUGAGCCAAGUGUCCAAAAGCACCUGUGGCGUGAGCAACUGAGUGAGCUUCCCACACCUCGUCCCUUCUCCCGUGGCUUUCACUUAGGGCAUUAGCUCUAUGUUUAUGCCAUCAAAUAAAUAACAUUCGAGGUCGGUGCCGUAUUAUUUUAUUAAUGUUGAUUUUCUUUGAUCAUGGAAAAUGCAGCCUUUCUCUUUGGGGAAAGAUUUUUUUGGGUCAGCUGAUCUGGUGCGAACGGAAAGGUUGAAGAACAAUGGCGUCUGUGUUCCUUCUUUUAAAUCAAAGUAGCCCUGGUGUCAUUUAGCAACUGGAUUAUAUGAAAAAUCCCAGCACAGCAUAGCUCUUCUAUUGAAAUUAGAUUGAUUUCUUUAGAGACCAUCUGAUCUCAACAGCAGUCUGAAAGAAAAAUCUUCUGGACCUCGAAGGAAACUAAAAUUAAUGGCUUUUUAAAAAAAAAAAAAAACUAAGCUCUCAAUUUUUCAAGAUUGAAGACAUCCCUUUUCUCAGUAAUUUGCAUCUAAAAACAAAACUGAAAAUGUGCGUGUCUGUACAUACAAAAUCCUGAUGCUUCCCUCUUGGACUAAACUUUUUUAUUUCUCUGUUUAUAAAGGAAAUGACUGUAUUUUCCAAUGCACUGAAAUUAUCUUUGAGACAAUUCACCAGCCUAUAUACUGAGGGUUCUCUUCCUACAUGUGUUUUUAUUUAAAGUGAAGAGCAUACUUUAAAAAAAUAAAGGAGUUAUAGUGUAUACGCUUAUAAUGUACAGAAACUCAUAGACAGCUCUUCAGGUCACUACACUCUAACCUGUGAAACAUAUAUCCUUUCCACGAAAGACCUGAAGCCAAUCUAUGAAACUUGUUUGCUACAAAGAAUAAUUACAUUAUGGUGAUGGUUACAAUUCCAAAAAAGAAUUGUCAAUGUUUUUUUUUAAAUUAGGUACCUUCUUUAAAAAAAAUAAUUCAAGUUAAAACUUGAAACUUUUUGUACUUUUUCAAAAUUCCUGUAUUUACUUGUAGUAUCACUUCCCAGACAUGCUGUAUACCACGGUUUUGCUAUACCCGUGUUUCAGGUUUUCACUUUGAAUGGUAUGAAUUUCUGUAAAAAAAAAAAUUCUAAGUUAUUUUUGUUGAAUUAUGCACCCUAAAGUAUUGUGAUGUCUUAUUUCUGGUUCAAAAUAUGAUAAUGUUAUAAGCACUGAUAUAAAUAUUUUCAUGUAUAUAAUCUCAAAUCAAGUGACACAGAGCUCUUUGGGAAAUGGUGGUAUUACCAUGGUAUUUCUAUAUGCUCUUGCCUUUUUCUAAGGGCCAUGUGAGUCUCCUAGCUUAAGCUCAUCCCACUCCUUCCACUGUUAUAUGAAGAGUUGUCCUGUGUCUGCAGAUUUUACAGUAAAAACCCACACUCUGAGAUAUUGGUAUUAAGAUCACAGUCCCUAGCAGCCCCCUAACGGGAUCUGUAUACCACCAGGCUCUCUCCUCCUACAGCUUCCCACUGUUGAGAUUAGGGAUUUCCCAACCACUUGGAUGAGUGGCCUGUUUUCUUAGAGUAGCUUUGGACCUAAAAUAAAGGUAAAUUAGUAAAACAGUAACAAAACAAACACAAACCGAACUCCAACAACCUUGAAUUGUAAGGCUGGCUGCCCAUGUAGCUCAGCUGUUAGUGCUUGCCUGUCAUUCGCCAAGUCCUAGGUCGGAUCCCCAGCAAUUCAUAAAACUAGGCAUUGUGGUGCCUGCCUGCAAUCAUUGCACUUUGAAGGUAGAGACAUCCUCAGCUGCACGGGCAAUCCAAUGCCGGCCUGGACUACCGAAGACACUGUGAGAAAAGAAAAAAAAAGGAGGGAAAAAGCCUGAAGUUGGUGAGUUUUCCAGAUUUCUCCAUCGUGUGUAUCUUUCCAAGUAGAGCCAACCAACUUGAGGAUGCAUCAAAGGCUAAAAGGGGCUGGCGUGGGCAGCUCAUGGUUUCUGGUCUAACAGCUUCACCUCUGAGACUCUGUUCUAGGAAGUAAUCAGAGAUCUGUGAAAAGAUUGAUUUAGAAGGAUAAUGAUAGCAUUGCAUAGUGAAAAAAAUAAGCAAUUUGACCAUAAUCAGUCUCAACUCUGUGAGAUUGUUUGAAAGUUGUGCUUAUACGAUGUGGAAUUUGAUAACAAUGCCUUUAUAAGCAAGCUACAGGAUUUGAAAAAUCAUUCACAAGGCAGUAAGUAAAACCAGGAAGGCCAUGGAAGAACCAGGAACUUUCUGAACUCAUCCUCUUACUUGUCUUUAAGCCAGAAGCUACUGUAAACCAUGAUAGUCCUAAUUACUUAGAGCAUAUUAUGUGAACUUAAAAUAGAUAAAUAGACACUAAUUGUCAGUAUGCUAUAUAAUAACUCAUAUG